AUUUGAAGAAGUAUUACAUGGUGACCUAGACUUUUCAACAGACCCAUGGCCUAGUAUUUCUGAAGGUGCUAAAGAUUUAGUAAGGAAAAUGCUUAUUCGAGAUCCCAAAAGGCGGAUAUCUGCACAUGAUGUUUUGUGUGUUCUUAGGCACAGCAUCUGUUGCACUGAAAUUUUCUGGCUCCUUUGUUUUUAAAGAGAAUGUUCUUUCAUUCUUAAAGAGUUUUGGUUUUGCAGACUGUAAUUGGGCAGAAGAAGAAGAUGAGGAGCAAAACAUCCAGGAUAACAGGGAUGGAACUCAACAAGGUUUUCCUUUUGGAGCAAACCAACUUACCUUACCCCCCUGGUGGCUUCAAAUUUGGGUAAAAAUAGUAAAGCUGCUCUCUACCCUGCUUUUGAUCAGGAUUUUUUUUUAAAAAUAUAUAUAUUUAUUGCUCUCUUUUCUGGGAUGAAUUACUCAUUUGAAUUUGUCAUGUCAUUGUCGGGGGCCAGAUUUUUAGCAUGGCACAUAGGCUUGUCUAUGGAAUUUGUUAUAUUGAAGUCUUUAAACUUCAGUUUUGCAAUGUUUUUUCUAAAUUAAAUAGCAAUCCUUUUGCCUUUUAUGUGAAGAAAGUUGGCAACUGUGUAUCUUUUUCAAAUGGUCCUAUAAUCCAUUCAAUUUUGUUGUUCUGUUUGUUCCAUUAUAAAUCUGCUAGGUAAGUUGUUCUGUUUCUAAUUAUCAUCUUGAUACUAAGUUGAAAUUUACUAGGUUGCCAAGGACUUGUGUUCCUACCUAAACAUCUUUAAAAAAAUCCUCCUUGCUUCCCAUUCUAGUUGGUAUAUUUCUGCUUUGAUUUUCUAGUUGGGAAUUGAGAUCUCUUACUUUCAUUAUUUAUGGAAAUCCCAUGCUUUUUGUAUAGAGAAGCAAUGCUAAUAUAAAUGUUUUUGCCUUGCUUUUUAACCUGUUUAUGCUUUAGCCAGCCAUGGGUAAUGUUUCAUGAGCAAUUUUUUCUUCAAAUUAUCUCUCUAUGAUUUCUAGCAAGAAGCCAAUUGGCUAUUUCAAUUGCAAAUUGUUUUAUUAAAACUACUGUUAAGAUUCUCCCUUCUUGAGAUGAUUUGAGAAACAAUCAACUUUAAACAAUUUGUAACCAUAACAUGUUAUUGGCAUUGAUAUCUGUUCUCGGACUUGGAAAUUAUGAUAAUCAAGUCGUGACCCAAUUUUUGUUUAAAUCCUUUUAUGCUUUCCUCAUAUUAAUCUAUAUUCUAUUUGUGGUGAUAUUCCUUAUGUUUGGAGGCCUUUAAGCUUUAACUACAUUUAUGUGAAAAUUCUGAAGAAAAAAAAAAAGAAAUGGCCUAGAGAGUUUAAGUUUAAGCUAGUCUCUAGACCUUGCUGCCACAUGGGGUUUUUGUUUGUGGUUGGCUAUAAUGGCUCCACCUCUGUCAUUCUCUGUCAUGUAAGCUUCUCUUGUUUUCCUCAGUUCCUUUUUAUGUCUAUUCUUGACUAUUUCUCUUAAACUUUUCAUGAAACUUUAGGAAAUGCAAGGUUAGUUUAUUGAGUAUGUAUAGUUUCUGAGCUUAUUUUUAGAAGCUUGUUUGUCUUCUAGAGCUAGAGAGUAGUUUAGGAAAUACACUUGGGCAUGGGCAGACCGUUCGUGUGACAGCCGUGAGCAGUGCCUCUUUCUCGGAGUGACAACCCAGGCGAAUGGUGACAAAUCUCUACAACUUUAUAUAUAUAAUUCUUACUUUCUAAGCUUCAUUGUAACUUGACUGUUCUAUGCCUUAAUUGCAACCUUCAGCAACAGUAAUUCAGCUUUCAAAAUAUAGCAUUAUGACUUGUUCUGUUACUCUUUCUGUUGCUGGCUAUGACCGUUUCUGUUAUAUGAUUAUCAAGGUUACACAGGUGACAAGGAGAGCCUGGGAAAGUGUGAACAGUAUUUUAUGGAGUUGAUGAAAGUUCCUAGAGUGGAAUCAAAAUUGCGAGUGUUCUCUUUCAAGAUUCAGUUCAACUGCCAGAUUUCAGAAUUUAAAAAGAGUUUGAACACUGUGAACUCUGCAUGUGAAGAGUUUUGAGAAUCUGUUUUGACUUGGGUAGUUUUAUGCUCUGUUUAAUAAGUCCGGAAUUCCCUCAAAUUAAAAGAUAUUAUGAAGAAAAUUCUUUUUCUGGGUAAUACUUUGAACCAAGGGACUGCAAGAGGUGAGGAUCUUCAAUUGUUAUUUUGACAGAUUUUAUUAUUUGUGGAUGCUGGAAAAUUCUGUUUUAUCAUCUGAUAGUUGCAAGUUCUUUUAAAAUAAGACUUAGUUCCUUUUAUGGCCAUAAAUCCGGAAGUUUAUCGAAGUAUUAGAUAAUGAGAAAAUCCAAUGAGGGCUGUUGCAGCAAUCAGAGCAUUAAACGGAACUUACACAAUGAGGGGUUGUGAUAAGCCAAUAGUUGUACGUUUUGCGGAACCUAAGAAAGUUAGGAAUGGAGAAGCAAGGAACAAUAAGAUGUUUAGUGGCAUGCCCUUUGGCCCCCAUUCUCAAGAACCAGUUGUUAGGACAACAACCAACCUGGGUGAUUCCAUGGUGGGGCAUAACCGGCCUAAUGCACCUCAUCUGGCACAAUAUUUCUCGUUAACUAAACAACCACAAGCAGAUUCUUCGAUGGCAAACCAGGAACCUCCGCAGUUAUCUCAGAUGCAGAAUAGAAAAGCAAGUUCUCAACAAUUUCAAGGUGAAGUUCGUGAUUUUCCAAGACAGUUGCAUGUGAUGCAACCAUUGAAACAAACGCUAGAGUAGCACAAGUGGUCUCAGACUAGUGGACAACCGCCUCUACCAACUGGAAGCAGUUCUCGGGAAGUUGCUUACAAUAUUCCCAGAGCUGCAGUGCCUGCAAAUCCUCAGAUGCCUGAACUUCCAGAAUGUGAUUGGAGUGAGCAUACCUGCCCUGAUGGGCAUAAGUAUUAUUAUAAUUGUGUCACUCGUGAAAGCUUGUGGGACAAGCCCAAGGAAUAUGGUUUGGUUGAGGAACAAUUAAAGAAUGAGAGACAGCAGCAAACUGCUGCCCACAAGCUUCAGUCUUCUUCCUUGGUUCUCUCUAAACAGCAACCUGCUCAAACACAAGAAAUUCAUUGCCAAUCUCAUGUUGACCAUCAAAAUCUCCAACUAGAAAAACCUGCUCUAUCUGCGCUGGUAUAUUGAGAUGAUUUCUUUGAAGCAAUUCUUGACAACAUUUGUAGUUGAGGUCUUUAGAAUGGAAGAAUUUAUUUCACUAAUUUUUGUAUACAUUUCUUGUUUUGUAUUUCACUACAAGAAAAAAAGGCUUCAAUGAGGACAAAUUUCGUCAGUGAAGGGUGUUUCUUUCGUCAGUAGUGGCUAUCAAUGGCGACAUGUCGUUAGUGAUAGGUCGUUGGUGAUACCUCGUCGGUGAAAGUCAGUAUCAAUGACGACUUUACAAGUCGUUGGUAAAAAAAAGUAUCACUGACGACAAUGUCGUUGGUGAUAAUUUAACCUUUUUUUUUUAAUGCUUUUGACUAUCAAUGACAACUAUGUCGUUA